ACUGGUUUGACUGUCCGUCUUAUUUAAAAAAUUAUGAAAAAAAUUAAAAAGAUAAGUCACACAUAAAAUAUUAAUCAUGUUUUAUCAUCUAACAACAAUGAAAAUACGAAUUAUAAAAAAGUUUCAUAUAAGACGGACAGUCAAAGUUAGACACGGAAAUCUAGGGUUUGUCUU
rnacentral:pre_miRNA from 1 species